AUGAACGCUGGCGGCGUGCCUAAUACAUGCAAGUCGAGCGAACGGACGAGAAGCUUGCUUCUCUGAUGUUAGCGGCGGACGGGUGAGUAACACGUGGAUAACCUACCUAUAAGACUGGGAUAACUUCAGGAAACCGGAGCUAAUACCGGAUGAUAUUUUGAACCGCAUGGUUCAAAAGUGAAAGACGGUCUUGCUGUCACUUAUAGAUGGAUCCGCGCUGCAUUAGCUAGUUGGUAAGGUAACGGCUUACCAAGGCAACGAUGCAUAGCCGACCUGAGAGGGUGAUCAGCCACACUGGAACUGAGACACGGUCCAGACUCCUACGGGAGGCAGCAGUAGGGAAUCUUCCGCAAUGGGCGAAAGCCUGACGGAGCAACGCCGCGUGAGUGAUGAAGGUCUUCGGAUCGUAAAGCUCUGUUAUUAGGGAAGAACAUAUGUGUAAGUAACUGUGCACAUCUUGACGGUACCUAAUCAGAAAGCCACGGCUAACUACGUG
rnacentral:rRNA from 1 species